AACGAACGCUGGCGGCGUGCUUAACACAUGCAAGUCGAACGGGUUUAUUGGAUGUAGCAAUACAUUCAAUAGAUUAGUGGCGCACGGGUGAGUAACACGUAGGCAACCUACCCUUCAGUGGGGGACAACAGAGGGAAACUUCUGCUAAUACCGCAUACGGCCUUGUACUGGGAUGUACGAGGAGAAAGGAUUUAUUCGCUGAGGGAUGGGCCUGCGGCCUAUCAGGUAGUUGGUGGGGUAAAGGCCUACCAAGCCUGCGACGGGUAGCCGGACUGAGAGGUCGACCGGCCACACUGGAACUGAGACACGGUCCAGACUCCUACGGGAGGCAGCAGUAAGGAAUAUUGCUCAAUGGCCGAAAGGCUGAAGCAGCAACGCCGCGUGAAGGAUGAAGGGUCUUUGGCUUGUAAAC
rnacentral:rRNA from 1 species